ensembl:lncRNA
GNNNNNNNNNNUAGACAUCUGUAAUGGAACAAGAAAUGGUGUGCUGAUUAUCUAUACAAUUACAUAUGCACUGCUUAUUCUGUCUGGAGAUUCUACUGUGCUUUGGGAUGUAAACCAAAUAGAAGUAUGAUAAAACAGAGAACAGAAGAAUAUACCAAAGGGUUUCAUGAGGUUCUAUGGUUUGUAUGCUGAAAGUAGUGCAAAACUUCUGGACUAAUUUUGUAAAGUAGGCAAUAUUUUGCAAAGUAAUGGUAUCUUUGUAAGAAAAUACUCUAUUGAAAACAGGUAGAUGGUUGGUAUAUUUUGUAGCUGAAUUGUGAUCUUUACAAGUUCCAAAAUUAAGUUUAUAUACGUAUUUUGACAGUUUAUAUAUUUCAUUUUAGUAAACAAAUGGAAUAUUUUGUGAACCAGAUUUUCAAGCAUAUAUUUUUAUGGAUAGCACAAAGUCAAAUGAGAUCCUCUUUGGUGUAGGAGAUAUUUGAAUUAAUUUUAUAUGUCUGUAGGCAACUUACAGAAGAAAUGGAUCUUGGGGGAAAAAAAAUGGAUCGGGGCUUUUUUCCCUACAGUUGAUAAUAUCUGCACGUCAGACCUGAUUGCUCUCAGAGAUUCUGUUAGGAUUGAAUCCUGCUUCCAGAUCUGUCAGUGGGAAUUGCACUAUGGGCUACGCUGUGCAAAAGGUGUUAGAGCUACGUGUGUGUGUUGUGCUAGCUCGGACCUGAAUGAAAUGAGGAGAUGUGCUCACUCCCCUGCUUUCCGUGUGGUCAGUUUUUAUUUUACUCACUUUGAACUCACGGGUUUCUGAGCAAGCAGAGCUCUUUGCAAGUGCUGUGGGAGAGACUGCACUCCACAGUCCCACUGUUAGCAGGCUAUACAAGAAUUUUUGUUCCAGACUUCCUGAAUAGAACACGUCCAUCAUCCACAACACAUUUCCUUUAGGCCAGACUGGAGUGUGCACUCGUUUUCAGUCAUGUCAAACACAAAAAAUGCUUUUGUUGCACAUCAGCCAUAACGAGCAAUGCUGAGAAAGCCAUUAGAUGAGUAAAUUGCUCCUGGGGGGUGCUCAGCACCUCCAGGAUUGGACUGUCGCUGUCUGCCAUCAGUGUGUGUACACUUCAGAGGGACUGAUCUGCAGUGCUGGGACUGAUGUGACAGCUCCUCUGUGCAGUAUCCUCAUCCUCACUGCGUGCUGUCGUUCCUUUACCUUCUUUUGUAAUACGGAAUCAUAAUUAAUAAUAAAAGCAGUUAUCGCGUGUUGAGACUGUACAAAACAUGGUGGCCAAUUCUUUCUGUAUUUCAGCAAGUGGAGCAAACACAGAGUGCUGCCAGGCAUAACGUUAGGCAGUCUUUGUCCUCUUUUGGAAAGAGCAGCUGGAUUUUUCAUCACAGAGGUAUUCACCAGUAACGUGGGUUUGCUCCUUAAGUAAUCACUUACCACAAAGUACUGAUUUUGGAUUUACUUCAAAACGUCAGCAGUAAGAGAACAAAAUCUGUAUCCUGAGAGUGAGAGGUGUAGUACCAAAUACUGCUCUGCUGUUUUGUUCCAAACCAACGUACGUGCUUUAUAUGAACUGUAAAUAUUUGUCAAAACAAUUAGAUGGUUGCAGAUUUUGACCUUGGUAAAUAAAGUCGCCAAAAGAUAACUGCUGUUCCUUAUUUCUUGCCCAGUUUGCUUUUAAUUAACACUCGACGGCAGCAGCUCUGAAUGUCUGUGCUGUGUAGCAUGGGCUCUGCACUGCUGCCACAAAACUGUGUGUGAUGACGGAGCAGCACCGGAGAUCUCUUCCCACGUAUGCCCUCACAGUGCUGUGCUGCCGUGCAAUCCGUAAUGGAGGGCACCUUUGGUCUGCAGGGAUUUGUUUCAGUUCAGCCUCUGCUAA